rnacentral:rRNA from 1 species
CCUGACAUCCCGAUGCUAUUUCUAGAGAUAGAAAGUUACUUCGGUACAUCGGUGACAGGUGGUGCAUGGUUGUCGUCAGCUCGUGUCGUGAGAUGUUGGGUUAAGUCCCGCAACGAGCGCAACCCCUAUUGUUAGUUGCCAUCAUUCAGUUGGGCACUCUAGCGAGACUGCCGGUAAUAAACCGGAGGAAGGUGGGGAUGACGUCAAAUCAUCAUGCCCCUUAUGACCUGGGCUACACACGUGCUACAAUGGUUGGUACAACGAGUUGCGAGUCGGUGACGGCGAGCUAAUCUCUUAAAGCCAAUCUCAGUUCGGAUUGUAGGCUGCAACUCGCCUACAUGAAGUCGGAAUCGCUAGUAAUCGCGGAUCAGCACGCCGCGGUGAAUACGUUCCCGGGCCUU